AUUCUCCUCUCCUAUUAAAUGGAGGCCAUCAGCACACUUAGACACGCCUGCCAGCUUUAAGAGUUUAGAGCUAAACAAAUGAAGCACACAGUGCACUUCAAAGACUUCGAGAGGAAGGCUCAGUGUGCACAGAGGCCCCAGGAACCCUGAGCUUCCCCAGGAUGCCCAUCCUGAGCCCUCGGGGGCCAUCUAACCCACUCAAACUCCAAACACUAGUCUCUCCCCCAUCACAAGGAAAGACAGACACAGACACAGGAAGCAUCAACUCUGAGGCUUUGGCCAGGAUGUGAGCCCGACUUUCGCAGCCCCAACUGGCAGGCUGACCUCAUGUGAACUCCCUGGCGAUGGCAUCCUGGAGACACCCACAUGGCUGAGCUGGCACCAUAGGCACUCAUAAUCCAGGUUCAGUUUCUGCCAGCACUAAUUUGGUUUAUUCCACAUGGCUGGAGCCACUGCGGGACUCCAUUUGUUCCGGGGCCACCUUCCUGUCACCUUUUACUGUUUCUUGAGUCAGCAAGAAAGGCAGAUCCGACUGAAGACUCCAGCACUCUCCUCAGCUGCAGCCCCCACAGAGCUCCGCGAAGUCCUUUCUCCCACAGGACAGAUCUGAGGCACCCACCAUUAGAAGAAAGGAGUGGAGAAAUGAUAUGCAGGAAGAAGGCCCAUUCUGAUUCACCAAUCGCAUGGACGCACUUUCCUACCAGGCUAGG
ensembl:lncRNA LINC00454 long intergenic non-protein coding RNA 454